AGCGAACACUGGCGGCAUGCUUAACACAUGCAAGUCGCGCGGCCGGCAACGGCAGCGGCGGACGGGUGAGUAACGCGUAGGAAUGUAUCCUGAGGUGGGGGACAACCCUGGGAAACUGGGGCUAAUACCGCAUGGGAGCUGAGGCUCAAAGCCUUCGGGUGCCUUGGGAGCAGCCUGCGUCCGAUUAGCUAGUUGGUGGGGGUAAUGGCCUACCAAGGCGGCGAUCGGUAGCUGGUCUGAGAGGACGAUCAGCCACACUGGGACUGAGACACGGCCCAGACUCCUACGGGAGGCAGCAGUGGGGAAUAUUGGACAAUGGGCGCAAGCCUGAUCCAGCAAUGCCGCGUGGGUGAAGAAGGUCUUCGGAUUGUAAAGCCCUUUCGGCGGGGACGAUGAUGACGGUACCCGCAGAAGAAGCCCCGGCUAACUUCGUGCCAGCCGCCGCCGUAAAAC
rnacentral:rRNA from 1 species